AGGUGCGAUCAUACCAGCACUAAUGCACCGGAUCCCAUCAGAACUCCGCAGUUAAGUGUGCUUGGGCGAGAGUAGUACUAGGAUGGGUGACCUCCUGGGAAGUCCUCGUGUUGCACCU
rnacentral:rRNA from 1 species